rnacentral:rRNA from 1 species
AUUGAACGCUGGCGGCAUGCCUUACACAUGCAAGUCGAACGGUAACAGGUCUUCGGAUGCUGACGAGUGGCGAACGGGUGAGUAAUACAUCGGAACGUGCCCGAUCGUGGGGGAUAACGAGGCGAAAGCUUUGCUAAUACCGCAUACGAUCUACGGAUGAAAGCGGGGGAUCUUCGGACCUCGCGCGGACGGAGCGGCCGGUGGCAGAUUAGGUAGUUGGUGGGAUAAAAGCUUACCAAGCCGACGAUCUGUAGCUGGUCUGAGAGGAUGAUCAGCCACACUGGGACUGAGACACGGCCCAGACUCCUGCGGGAGGCAGCAGUGGGGAAUUUUGGACAAUGGGCGAAAGCCUGGUCCAGCCAUGCCGCGUGCAGGAUGAAGGCCUUCGGGUUGUAAACUGCUUUUGUACGGAACGAAAAGCCUCUUUCUAAUAAAGAGGGGUCAUGACGGUACCGUAAGAAUAAGCACCGGCUAACUACGUG